AUGCUCAUGGCGCGCGGAAGAGAGAGCAGAUCAACCGCGGCAUCUGCCAUGCCCGCACACGCACGGCAGCUCCGCCAGCUCGCGCUCAUGCUCGUCCACUUCUCAGUGAUGCCCCAAGGAGCGCUCUCGCGGGGACUGGGGCUACCCCCGGAGGCAGAUCCAUCUCGCGGCCGGGAACACUGGGCGAACAUGAUGUGCAACAGCAUCCCCUAUCCGUUUGGCAUCAGAGGCAGUUCCAUACCAGGCUUCGAGGUAACAUGUGGGCCAAACAAGGAAGCCAUGCUGCCGAUCGGCAAGCAUAGCUAUGAAAUCCAUGAUGUGUCCCUUCAAGGAGGCUUCGUCGUCAUCUCUGCCGGACCCAUCAGCCAAGUCUGCUACGACCGCAACGGUACACGGACACAGACCACCGGAACCGGUGAUAUCAGAUUGGAGCAGACGCCCUUCUCCAAUGCCGCAGGUGGUGCCAACUUGAUGGUCUUGAAUUGGGCAGUCGGACACGGCACAUGCGACCAGGCCUUGACCUACAACUUGGCGUCGCUCCACUGCAACAAUAAGAGUGGAUGCAUUGACGCGCCCAGUGGAGCGGGCUAUCUCUGCAAGUGCAACGCAGGGUAUGACGGGAAUCCGUACGCCGAGGAUGGAUGUCUAGAUAUCAACGAAUGCCGAAAUUUCGACAGCAACGAAUGCAGCCUUUGGGACUUCUGCAACAACACCGAAGGAGGUUUUACUUGCUCGUGUCCCCAUAACUGGAACGGUGACGGUUACAGGACAGGGACAGGCUGCAACGAGACACCAAGACCCAUCAACUGGAAAAAUCAAUCUGCUGGUUUGAGUGUGUGCGCUCAACCUGAAAGGAACCCCUGCACGUACCUAGAGUACUGCAGUGAAGAUGAGCAAGGGGUAGUUGCGUGUUAUUGUCCUCUAGGCCUGCGUGGCGAUGGCAGGCAAAGAGGAAGUGGGUGUCAAAAGCACCACUAUCCAUUGGGUGUGCUUGUGCUAGCAGUUGGCGGUGGCAUAAGCCUUAUAUGUCUAGUGCCUGGUAUCAUAUUUUUCAUGCAGACGUUAAAGGCUCGACAGGCUAAGAGGCUCAGGGCGAAGUACUUCAAAGAAAAUCGGGGUUUGUUGUUACAACAACUGGUGGACAAAGACAUUGCUGAAAGGAUGAUGUUUAACUUAGAAGAACUUGAGAAGGCAACAAACAAGUUCGAUGAGGCCCGUAAACUUGGUGGUGGUGGUCAUGGUACUGUGUACAAAGGAAUACUAUCAAAUCAGGAUGUGGUUGCCAUCAAGAAAUCAAAAAUUACAAUCCAAAGAGAAAUCGAAGAUUUCAUAAACGAGGUUGCCAUCCUUUCACAAAUUAACCACCGGAACGUCGUGAGGCUAUUUGGAUGCUGCCUAGAGACACAAGUCCCAUUAUUGGUUUAUGAAUUCAUUUCAAAUGGAACUCUUUCUGAUUAUCUCCAUGUUGAAGGUGCCCUAUCCUUGCCUUGGGGGGAUCGACUGAGGAUUGCUCUUGAAACUGCAGGUGCUCUCGCAUAUUUGCACUCCUCUGCUUUGACAUCCAUAAUCCACAGAGAUAUUAAAUCUGCCAACAUUCUACUGGAUCAUCGUUUAAUUGCUAAAGUAUCAGAUUUUGGAGCUUCUCGAGGUAUCCCUAUCGAUCAAACAGGAGUUACAACUGCCAUCCAAGGUACAUUUGGGUACCUAGACCCCGAGUACUACCAAACAAGUAGGCUAACGGAUAAAAGUGAUGUUUAUAGCUUCGGUGUCAUACUUGUGGAGUUGCUCACAAGAAAGAAACCAUCCACUGGCAUGCACUCAGAAUGCGGAAGCCUUAUUGCACAAUUCAUCUUGGUGAUAAGGCAGGAUAAGCUAUGUGAGAUAUUAGAUCCUCAAGUCAUAUCGGAGUGUCUGGAGGCUGCAAAAGAUGUUGCAUCACUCGCAUUGACAUGCCUAAGCUUGAAGGGUGAGGAUAGGCCAACCAUGAGACAAGUGGAGAUGGCACUGGAAAGGUUGUUAGUAGCAAAUAAAAACACUGCACAAGGGCGUUCAGCCGAGCUAAACUACUCACCAGCUCAAAUAAGCAACAAUAAUGAUCACAAUAGCAGACAGUAUAGCGCCGAGCAGGCACUCUUACUAUCAGCAAGCUUUCCUCGCUGA
rnacentral:rRNA from 1 species